AUUGAACGCUGGCGGCCGGCCUAACACAUGCAAGUCGAACGAGUGGCGGACGGGUGAGUAAUGUCUGGGAAACUGCCUGAUGGAGGGGGAUAACUACUGGAAAAGGUAGCUCAUACCGCAUACCAUCGGAUGUGCCCAGAUGGGAUUAGCUAGUAGGUGGGGUAACGGCUCAACUAGGCGACGAUCCCUAGCUGGUCUGAGAGGAUGACCAGCCAAACUGGAACUGAGACACGGUCCAGAUUCCUACGGGAGGAAGCAGUGGGGAAUAUUGCACAAUGAGCGAACGCCUGAUGCAGACAUGCCGCGUGUAUGAAGAGGGCCUUGGGGUUGUAAAGUACUUUCAGCGGGGAGGCGUUACCCGCAGAAGAAGCACCGGCUAAGUCCGUGCCAGCAGCCGCGGUAAUAC
rnacentral:rRNA from 1 species